rnacentral:tRNA from 3 species
UUGGAUUUAAACCCCAAAUAUAAAGUUUAACCUUUUUUUAGAA